rnacentral:rRNA from 1 species
UACGUAGGGAGCGAGCGUUGUCCGGAAUUACUGGGCGUAAAGGGUGCGUAGGCGGCCUGGUAAGUCAGAUGUGAAAUACCCGUGCUUAACAUGGGGGGUGCAUCUGAUACUGUCAGGCUUGAGUGCAGGAGAGGAAAGCGGAAUUCCUAGUGUAGCGGUGAAAUGCAUAGAUAUUAGGAGGAACACCAGUGGCGAAGGCGGCUUUCUGGACUGUAACUGACGCUGAGGCACGAAAGCGUGGGGAGCAA